AUUGAACGCUGGCGGCAUGCCUUACACAUGCAAGUCGAACGGCAGCACGGGGCAACCUGGUGGCGAGUGGCGAACGGGUGAGUAAUGCAUCGGAACGUACCUUUCAGUGGGGGAUAACGUAGCGAAAGUUACGCUAAUACCGCAUAUUCUGUGAGCAGGAAAGCAGGGGAUCGCAAGACCUUGCGCUGAUCGAGCGGCCGAUGUCAGAUUAGCUAGUUGGUGAGGUAAAGGCUCACCAAGGCGACGAUCUGUAGCGGGUCUGAGAGGAUGAUCCGCCACACUGGAACUGAGACACGGUCCAGACUCCUACGGGAGGCAGCAGUGGGGAAUUUUGGACAAUGGGGGCAACCCUGAUCCAGCCAUUCCGCGUGAGUGAAGAAGGCCUUCGGGUUGUAAAGCUCUUUCGGCAGGAACGAAACGGUGAAGGCUAAUACCCUUUAUCAAUGACGGUACCUGAAGAAGAAGCACCGGCUAACUACGUGCCAGCCGCCGCCGUAAUAC
rnacentral:rRNA from 1 species